rnacentral:rRNA from 1 species
CCUACGGGUGGCAGCAGUGGGGAAUAUUGCACAAUGGGGGAAACCCUGAUGCAGCGACGCCGCGUGAGUGAAGAAGUAUUUCGGUAUGUAAAGCUCUAUCAGCAGGGAAGAAAAAAGACGGUACCUGACUAAGAAGCCCCGGCUAACUACGUGCCAGCAGCCGCGGUAAUACGUAGGGGGCAAGCGUUAUCCGGAAUUACUGGGUGUAAAGGGUGCGUAGGUGGCAUGGUAAGUCAGAAGUGAAAGCCCGGGGCUUAACCCCGGGACUGCUUUUGAAACUGUCAUGCUGGAGUGCAGGAGAGGUAAGCGGAAUUCCUAGUGUAGCGGUGAAAUGCGUAGAUAUUAGGAGGAACACCAGUGGCGAAGGCGGCUUACUGGACUGUCACUGACACUGAUGCACGAAAGCGUGGGGAGCAAACAGGAUUAGAUACCCGAGUAGUC